CCGGGCUGCGGGAAAAUGGGGCGCGCCCUCCGGGGGGCGAGUGGCUGUGUCCUUGCUAAUUUCCUCCGUAACCUUUAAACUCUCGCUGGAAGCUACCGCCGCGGCUGGUCACGUGAGGAGAGCCCUGGGCUGCUGGGGAAAAAUUUCCUCGGCUGGGAGCCGGGACCGGGCCGGCGGCCGGCGAGGGACUGCCCCGCGCCCGAGACUGGGAACCUGGGAGGGCAGGGCCGGAGCGCUGGGCCCCGGGGCGCGGCCCAGCUGGGACACCCGCGAAGACGGCGGCGGUGAAGAGGUCGGCUCCGCUGCCGGGGAGCUGGGGAUUAUGCAAAUGGGGAAAGAAAACCUCCGCCCUCGCCCUUCUGCCAAGUCAAGUCUGGGAAUUUGGCAUGUGAUGGAAGGCAGUGGCAAAUAUGGCUUGAUCUUCUGAAAAUGCAUUUGGGAAGCAGAGCCAGCACCAAAGUGAGAUGAGUGAGAUACUUUUCAGAGGCAAAAUGUAAAGGGUACCAAUAAACGUAAUCAAGAUAAAGAUUUAAUACAAUUUUUUAAAAAUAAAAAUGUGAGAAUCCAGAAUGGACACAAUAUCCACAUUUUAAAUAAUUUUAAAUAUUGCACUAAAAUAUUUAUACUACUGAGUUUAUUGGCACCUGUUAAAUUUUGUACCUGAGCCGAGUGCGUCACUCAUCUCACCCUAGUCCUGAUCCUGUUGGGAAGUCUGGAAAGUCAAGGAUUUCAUGGAGUUAGGGAUCCUUGACUAAUUGGUGCUUCAUAUGUUCUCAUUACUUGCUUUGGGUAAGUCUUGUACAGGCAGGAGCCACCAUGCCCAGCCCCCAAAUAUAUUAAAUAGGGUCUGUUACCAUCUCAGUGACUGUCUUAAAACAACCUACAAACUUCCAGCACCAUUUCCUAGCAUGCUGGCUCAGCAGACUGUUACUCCGUGUAAAUCACCAGACUGCAAUUCUCAAGGGCGACCAAUGCUUGUCUCCUUUCCAUUACAGCAACUCUUUUGGAGCAAGG
rnacentral:lncRNA from 1 species